rnacentral:lncRNA from 1 species
UUAAAGGUAGACGCAUUUGGUUGGAACAAGUAUCCUGUCUACAUUAUGAUGAAGAGAGGACAGGAGGGUGAAAUUUCUUGGAAAAAAGUCUCUUUGAACACCAAUAAUGGUAAUGGAAACCAACCAUUUGAGAUAUUAGGUGAGCUGAUGAAGACGGAGAAGCACAUGACUGAUACUAAGCUUUAUUUUGGUUUAUAUGAAGUGUGGAGUGGGAAGUGGAAAGGAGGCCUGCAAAUUCACGGUGCCUUUGUCAGAGAAGCAGCAUCUUAAGUGCAAAUUCCUUCUUUACAAUGAAUAAUGUAUUAUCUGCUUUAUAUUUUUGAAAGUUAUUCAAUCAGAAAAUAAGAGGCAUGAGAGAAUUAAAGUGAAGAAAAUUAUGUAUUGAUAUUCGAGAUAAGCCAGAUUUAUUUGCUGGCAGCGCUGUAUUAAUUGUAAUACAUUAGAGAUGAUUGGAGCUCAUGAUGUUUUCUUUUUGUAAUAAACUUCAUCACUUUUCCUCAUUCAAGUUGUGAGUUUCAUCCACUAUUAUCUCAUUCUCUUUGGUGGUAGGAUGAACUCCAUUGAUUUCGAUACCUCAUGUUUUUGCCCCCCAAAAAUACUAGCUAGUACAGUAGUACCUCUGAGUUUACCUAUGUUAUGUAUCCUUAAUAGGUUGUCGUUGCAUGUGAUUUCAUGAAAGUGUCGCAAGAUAAUUUUUAAACAAAUAUUUAAAUAAAAAUAGUUUAAAAUUUGAUUUUCAGUGCCAUACACCACUAAAAAUGUUCAAAGUCGGAAUCUGGAAGAUCGGAGCUGUACACUACUAAACAUGAUGAAAUCUAAGUGCUCAAACCAGAUGAAUGUUUACUGGAAAUUCCUGAUAUAUUAUUCUAAAUCAUCUCUUUUUGGGUGUAAUGAAAAAAAUACAUGCAAAUGAUACCAUGCUGCUGUUUAGAACUGAUACAAAAAAUGAAAUAAAAGGAUAUCCGACAGACACUAACGUAAAAAAUCAAGAAAUGUGUACAGAAUGUUACAAUACAAUAUUCCUACAUCACAUAAUCACAUGCACUGGUAUAUCUGUAACUGAAAAGAUUGUGUAUGAAAAAUGCGUUGAGAUCCUCAAUCAGUAUCACCAUGAGAAAGCCAUUGUUCAUGGCGAGCAUCAAGCCAAUAGUUUUUCAAUUUUGCCGCCCGAUUUGCCUAAUAAUUUCAAAGAAAAAGUAUACAUUAUAACUUUAAAAUUCACAAAAUUAGAAAUUUAAUAUACAGAAGAUAGCAUAGCAAAGGAAACAUCACGACAGCAAUAAGGGGAACAAAGGUAGGACAAAUGGAAUAGAGUAAUGCUAUUCACAAUGAAGACUAUCGAUAGUCGCCUAUGUGGUAUACACAUGACAGUUUAUUAUUUGACGCAUUAAUAUGGUAGUUUUUUAUUGUCUCAUACAUCAAAUAACAAAUUGCUUAUAUAUGUUACGUAAGGCAACUAUUGAUGGUCUUCACUACGAAUAACAUUAUUCAAUGGGAAAUGAGGGGUUCAUUUUGAGUUUUUAAUGUUAGUUAAUUUAAUCAAGAGGAAAUUUCACGUAAUGUCCAUUUUCAGCGAGUCAUUUGCAAAAAUGUCCACAAUUUUGUCAAUGUCCAUUUUCCAAUUAUGUAGACGAAAAUACCCUUGUUAGAAAAUAUUAUUUCCACACAAGAAUUCAAAAUUUUCCAUAUCAUUAUUCAUGUCAAUCAACGUAGAAAUAUCAAUCAGCAUUAGAUAUUUGGGUCGGGUAGGUGUGGGUCGAUGUGGGUCGGGUUAUGGGUCGAGUAGGUGCGGGUCGAGUUGGAUCGGGUUAUGGGUAAAAAAUGGAAAACCUGAUAGAACCCGACCCGAAUACAAAAAAAUAAAUAAAUAAAUAAAUAAAUAAAAUGAAGGCGGGGGAAUGAAAAAAUAAAAGAAGCCCUAAACUAAGUCCUCUCAACUCUCACUCUCAGUCUCUUAAUCUUCACUCCGACCCAACCCGCCGACAAAGAGCCUGUCCAUUUCUCUCUUAUUUUCCCAAUUGUCGUUUGCCUACCAGACUUCAGAGUCCAGUGCUAUAAAGUUAGUUUAUUUCGUUAUUUUUUUCUUUAUUUCGUUAUUUUUUUCACUUCCCCAAGUCUCCCCUCUUCCUAAAUCCUAAGAUUUAGCUAGUUUAACAUAAAUUGAUGUCAAGGUCACUGAGUGUCUCGAUUCUAUUGGGCGAGCAAAUACUAACUGUUGAUACAAUUUGAGAUAAAAAGUGGUACAUGUGAGAUAUUGUCGAAAAGGUUGAAGAGGUAAAGUGUUUAAAGAAAUCAGGAAAAUGAUUGUACUUUCUGUUGUCCCUGUUAUUGUAUCUUUUGCUUUGAGAUAUAAUCUAUAUGUCAACUAAAUUUGAUGAUACUAGAUGAUAAAUAACACUAGUACGAAGUGAAAAAUACUCCAUUUGAGGCAUAUUUCACAUCUAAGUUAGGCAAUAAACAUGAUGAAAUGACACAGGUUGUGUUGCUAUUAUACACUCUUAGACCGUUUCAAUGUUCGUCAGCAACUAAAUGGCUUCAUUUUCACAUCAAAUUUGUUUUGCAUCUUGUUGAGGGUUGCAUUUGUAUAUUGAUGGUUUCUUAUGGAGGAAGACUGUGAUAGGUUGAUAGCAGAUAGAACACUUUGUCAAAUCUUAUGACAUGUAUACUUGAUUUUGCGUAUGGUCUGUUGUUAUUUAUUUUGCUAAAGAAUAUUGGAUUUUCAGUUUAUUUGCAUAUCUAAAUUAGGCAAUUAACUUAAUGAAAUUGUAGAAGAUUGUGUGUAUACUUUUGGACUGUUUGAAUGGUGAUCAACUAUAAAAUGGUUACAUGAUAGCUUCAGAUCAGAAAUUAGGUUUGUUUUAAUUUCAACAAUUAAACAAUUUAGUUUAGAUAUGGUAUUUUAUCAAACCAUUGUAUUGUAAAAAUUAUUUUUCUUUCACUACAUUUUAACAAGAAUGUUAUAUUUGAUUUCAUUUGUACGUUUUCAUACUAUUUGUUAAAGUAUUGUUUUCAUUUGUUUUGAUUUGUAGAUGAGUAUGACACACCAAUAUAAAAUUCCGGAGGAAGAACGUGUUCCGACCCAUGUGUCGCAAGUGAGCAACACAAAAUAUAUAUCAGCUGUCCUCAACAAAUUGGAUCCACAGCAAAAGCGUCAGUUGGAGGACAGUUGUAUAGGACAUGUUGCAAGGUUACCGGAGCUGAAACUAUCUGCUCAAUUAAUUCAUGAAAUGGUAAACAGAUCGGUGGUAUGCCGAAAGCUGUUUAAGGCUUGGUUCAAGGUGAACCAAAGGUUUGCACGAUUUGGACUGUCGGAGUUCGCACUAAUUACUGGCUUGAAGUGCAGUCCAGUGCCUAAAGGUACUGAAGUUGACAAAAUCCUAGAGAAAACCCGUCUACAAGAUAAAAUGUUUGCUAAUAUGGACCGGAUAACGUGUAGCGACCUGGAGAAAGUUUUUUUGAAAUGUGCCAACCGUAACGAUCGUUACAAGCUUGGGUUGGCACUAAUUAUUGAAGGGGUAUUUAAUUCAAGAGAUCGAAAUGUAGGAAUAAAUUCGACAACUCUUUCCAUCAUUGACGACUUGGAUUUUUUCAAUGCCUACCCAUGGGGGACAGUAUGUUUUCAACUUCUCAUCAAAUCACUACUACAUGGAUGGGGAAGAAAGGCGGACAUGGUAAAAGUGAAUGAUUGUGAUAAGAUGACUUACACAUUGUACAGAUUCCCUCUUGCUGUCCAGGUAUACAUCUAUUUUGGUUUAUUUCAGUUCUUCCCAUCGCUCAUUGUUAUUUAUCUCCAAAUAUGGUUAUUACUGUUACAAAUGUCAUGCAGAUUUGGGCGUACGAGGCAAUUUCGGAGUUGGGAGCUCGAUUCUCGAGUAAGACUUUUGACGAUGUCCCGAGGAUGUUGCGGUGGUCUGGCACAAAACAACCUCAUUCCCGAACAUAUUCAGAUUUUUUUGAGAAGACAAAUGUAGGCGAUUUACAUACUUAAUUGCCUUACACUUCGCAAUAUAUAUUUUUUCAUUUCGCCUAUUUUUCUUCUCCUGUAGGUGCACUUGUGGGCAACGCUACGAGCAACUACUGCAGAAGAAUUGCAGCCGUACUUCGUCAAUCUAGUUCCGUUGGAAGACGCAGUCGACCCCGUUUUAGAUGGUCUUGUUGUUCAAUCAAUAGAAACACAAGCUUGUCCAGUUGAAGAUGAUGUCAUACGGAACGAUGACAACAACCAUCGACCAAAUAAAUCCCAGAGAGGCAACAAAGGUGGACCUCGUCAUCGAGAUUUGUAUCUCGUUGAAGGCAGAGAAGAAGAGUAUGGGGAUCCGAUCGUUGAAAGACCUGUGUCUUUAGAUGAGAUAAGAGUUAUCUUGAAUGAACAGCGGGAGGCAUUUGAGAACAAGAUGGGGGAUUUGAGGGAAGAAAUGAACACAAGAUUCGCUAGUCUCCAAAAUGAUCUAAGAGGUCAUGUGUGUGGUUUGAAAAAUCAUGUCACUGAUAAGAUGAAUGUUCUUCGACGAAGGUUUGAUGAAGUUGCUACAGAAAUUGGACAACACAAUGUUGGUGCUGAGUAUGGUGGAUUUGGUCAUGACGAUCGCAGUGGAGACGAGCCCCAACAUGAUGUUUUCACUCCCAAUAUUUCUGCGGACAGACAGGAUGUCGGAGAGGCAACCGAACCAGCUGUUUGCAAUAUCCCUGAUGUGUCCAUAACGUCGGGAGGUGGGGUUGGAGUACUUGGGUCAGUAUAUGUAGCUAUUGAUAUUGUGAAAGAGGCACCAUCCGUUGUACCUACAGUUGGUAUGACCAUUGAUGAUCAACUGGUUCAUGAUAGCGUCGUUUCUGGACCUUCGAUGGCAGCUGAUCCACCUACACGUAGACCUCGAUCGUUGAGGCUGAAGAAGGCUAGUGCAAACACAAAGACACCAUACACCCGACCUGGUCGCAAGAGGGGUAAGAGGGAUGAGUAGAAUUUAUAGGUUCACCUAUUUUGAUUUAUAUGGUGGUUUUUCAAUAUGUAUUUUGGUUUAUGUCGUGGUACGAAAAAUGUAUUUUGGUUUAGACAGUGGUUUGCAUAUUUUUGUUUAUAUGGUGGUAUGUAAUAUUUUGUGGUACGAAAAAUGUAUUUUGGUUUAGACAGUGGUUUGCAUAUUUUUGUUUAUAUGGUGGUAUGUAAUAUUUUGUGGUACGAAAAAUGUAUUUUGGUUUAGACAGUGGUUUGCAUAUUUUUGUUUAUAUGGUGGUAUGUAAUAUUUUGUGGUACGAAAAAUGUAUUUUGGUUUAGACAGUGGUUUGCAUAUUUUUGUUUAUAUGGUGGUAUGUAAUAUUUUGUGGAUGCAAAUUGGUGGUUUAUAAGUUAGUGACAUGUUCCGAAUGUUGUAUGUUGAAAAUAGUUUAUAAUUUUAUUAUCUCAUAUAGUGGAGUAGGAGAUGUCAAUGUUCUAAUGAAAUGCGGAGAAAUCCUAUACUUUAGUUGAAAUGUCAUUCUAUACAAAUGUACUGUCAAGUGUCCAGAUUAGCAGACAUUUAAUGUCGAGAACUACACGUCAAUGUCAAGAAAUGAGUGAAAUGUCAAGAAAUAUAUUGUUUCAAUAUAAAUAUUAACGUCCCUUAUAUAUUUUUUUUCAAUAAUAUAUGAAUAUAUGUGUCAUUUUGUGUGAUCAUGUAUGUGGAAAUAAAAUAAACUUCGUGCUACUUAACAGUUAGUAAGGAAAAAUUGAUUAACUCAGUUAACUUUAAUAAAUUAAAGAAAUUUAUCGAAUACUUUUUUUUCAAUGUAAAAUUUGAAUUGUACAAAACGUUAAUUUUUUUUUUGUGAAUAUAAAAUUUUAAUGGAACAAAAUGAAUUAAAAAGAAAUUUAUAAUUUGUUAAAAAGUUUCAAAUUGCAACACAAGAAAGUUUAAAGAAACCACUGAUAUAUAUAUAUAUAUAUAUAAUGUGUAAAAAAUAUUCAAUUAUGACAACAUAACAAGCGAAUAUAUUCACUAUAUACAAAUUUAUCAACAACAUUCAAUUAUCGUAACACAACAAAAUGGUUCUGACAUUUACUCACAUGCACACUUUUAGCUACUUUUUCUCGUUCAUUCAUUAUCCUCACAUUCACUCCCCCAUCCACACAUUUAGCUACAAUUAUUUGUCACAUUCACUCACUCUNNNNNNNNNNNNNNNNNNNNNNNNNNNNNNNNNNNNNNNNNNNNNNNNNNNNNNNNNNNNNNNNNNNNNNNNNNNNNNNNNNNNNNNNNNNNNNNNNNNNNNNNNNNNNNNNNNNNNNNNNNNNNNNNNNNNNNNNNNNNNNNNNNNNNNNNNNNNNNNNNNNNNNNNNNNNNNNNNNNNNNNNNNNNNNNNNNNNNNNNNNNNNNNNNNNNNNNNNNNNNNNNNNNNNNNNNNNNNNNNNNNNNNNNNNNNNNNNNNNNNNNNNNNNNNNNNNNNNNNNNNNNNNNNNNNNNNNNNNNNNNNNNNNNNNNNNNNNNNNNNNNNNNNNNNNNNNNNNNNNNNNNNNNNNNNNNNNNNNNNNNNNNNNNNNNNNNNNNNNNNNNNNNNNNNNNNNNNNNNNNNNNNNNNNNNNNNNNNNNNNNNNNNNNNNNNNNNNNNNNNNNNNNNNNNNNNNNNNNNNNNNNNNNNNNNNNNNNNNNNNNNNNNNNNNNNNNNNNNNNNNNNNNNNNNNNNNNNNNNNNNNNNNNNNNNNNNNNNNNNNNNNNNNNNNUGUGAUCAUGUAUGUGGAAAUAAAAUAAAUUUUGUGCUACUUAGCAGUUAGUGAGGAAAAAUUGAUUAACUCGAUCAGUUUUAAUAAAUUAAAGAAAUUUAUCGAACAUUUUUUUUCAAUAUAAAAUUUUAAUUGUACAAAACGUUCAUUUAUUUUUUUGUGAAUAUAAAAUUUUAAUGGAACAAAAUGAAUUAAAAAGAAAUUUAUAAUUUGUCAAAAAAUUUCAAAUUGCAACACAAGAAAUCUUAAAGAAACCACUGAUAUAUAUAUAUAUAUAUAUAAUGUGUGAAAAAUAUUCAAUUAUGACAACACAACAAGCGAAUAUAUUCACUAUAUACAGAAUCUAUCAACAACAUUCAAUUAUCGUAAUAUAACAAAAUGGUUUUGACAUUUACUCACAUGCACACUUUUAGCUACUUUUUCUUGUUCACUCAUUAUCCUCACAUUCACUCCCCAUCCACACAUUUAGCUACAAUUAUUUGUCACAUUCACUCACUCUUCACACGUUUUAAUUAAUUUUAGCUCCUUCUCAUUCACUCCCUCAUCCACACAUUUAGCGACAAUUAUUUGUCACAUUCACUCACUCUCCUUCACCAACUCUCUACACAUUUUAAUUCAAGUUUCAUUCUCACAUUCAUUUAGCAGGAAACAUUUCCCACAUUCACUCAAAAAAGACGCUCAUUUGAUCGGAAAAGGUAAGUAAUUCAAAAUUUGUAUUUACUAUUUGUGCUACUUAAUAGUUAGUUGAAUAUCUUGAAAGAAAAUAUACUUUUAAACUACAAUUUAGUCGAAAAACUUCGUCUCUGUGUCACGGAGAUCGCUUCUCCGUGACACGGAGAGCAGCGUCUCUGUGACACGGAGAGUGUCACGGAGACACAGAAUUGCAACCACUAUUUUUUUUUGUAAUAUGUUUUAUGUCAUAUGUAAACAAAAAUAUUACAUUUUGUUUAAAAUAUUAAUUUUUUAUUUUAAUUUUGUUUAGUAUACAAGACGUGAAAAAAAUUAUAUUUGUUUGGAAAUAUUAAUUCUUAAAUAAUUGUACAAUUAACAGUACUUUGUUUUACUAUAAUAGAUGUGUACAAUCAAAUGAAAAUAUUAAUUCUUAAAAAAAUAAUUACAGUUGUUUAAAAAUAUUAAUUCUUGUAUAAUUAAUGCAGAUAUCUUUAGAAUACGUUCUCUCUCCAGAACAAUGGUUUUCUGCUACCAUCCUUCAGUAUCCAAAUCGUCAAUACGUUCAAGAUUUUGUAAAUUUCAUAGAUGCAAAUCAACAAUGUUAUUUGAUGUGUAGUAAUUUUUAUGGAUUUAUAUAUGGAGCUGUUUUCAAAGGAGACAAAGAACAAUUUACUAGCAAGUCGGUACACGAAUUUAUAAUGAGACUUGUGCAUUGUGGGAAAAACAAUGAACAUUGGGUACGGUUAGAUGACCAUCUUGCUAGGUUUGGCUUGCAAGAAUUUUGCCUCAUUACUGGACUACCUUGCCAUGAACCAUCCGUAGAAAUUGAUUAUAAUAACCAUCGUCUUAGAAAUCAAUACUUUAAUGGCACAAAAAAAAUUAGCAAUAGAAUGGUUUUUGAAACUUUCCACAUGUGUGAAGAUACAGAAGAUAAAUUUAAGUUGGGAUUAGUUAUGUUGGUUGAGUGUGUGUUGAAACCGACUUCACGACAAGUUGAUUAUAGAACUCUGGGCAUGGUUGAACAUCUGGAUGAGUUCCUUACGUAUCCGUGGGGCCGGAUAGCAUAUUUCGUUUUGUUAAAUUCAUUGAAAGAGUCACAAUUGGAAAGAAUAAUAAGGAUGCAACAGAAUGGACAGACAAAAUGUAAGUAUGCAUUACAAGGCUAUCCACUCGCAUUUCAGGUAUUAUGUUCCUAUUCUAAUUACUUACAUAUUAUGUAUAAUUUCUUUGUACAAAGAAUAAAAUUUAUACAUCACAUUUCUCUUUCUUUACUUUGCAGUAUUGGAUAUAUGAAGCGUUUCCACAAAUUGGACAAAAGUUUGGUCGCCGUAAGCACAGAACGGUGCAGAUUCCACGAAUCUAUAAUUAGAGGCCUAAUACUAUACUGAAGGAAUCAGUGGUUAAGCAAUUUUUGGAUACUCAAGAUGUAUGAAUUUUUUAUUUUCAAUGUAGAAUGACAUUCGCAUUUUAUUAUUAACAAGUUCAAUUAAACAAAUGGAUUAUGAUAGUUUGUUAUGAUUAUAGAUCGAAGUCAUUGCAGUGCUGCAGCCUACAGAGGAAGAAUUACAAACAUCCUGGUACACAAAUCUUUCUCUGCCGGCUAACGAUGAACAUAAUAUAUUAGAUGCCAUUGUCACUGGAGAAGUAGAUAAUGUAGUACCACAAAUACCAGAUAACAUCCGUGUGCAAGAAACGACCAGUCGUGGUACAUCGAGAACUUCAAUUGGAGUUGGGCCUAGUUCUGCUUAUGGUGCCUCCAGAUAUGUAACCGAAGACCGAAUGGAAGAAAUGUUGGGUAUGUACAGGCAAUAUACAAUAUCAGAUGUGUCUAGUCUGUGUGGCAACUUGAAGGCAGAAUUUGUUGAAGAAUCCAGAGCCCUGAACCAGGAUAUCCUUGAAAGCUAAAAACAACUGUUCGAACAACAUAACAAAUCAAAGCAAGAUUACAUGCUAUGUGGUAUGCAGUCAUACAUGGAUAAUUCUCUAUCAAAUAUGUUUAGCACUCAUAUGGCCCAGGAAUUGCAACAACAAGAAGCCCAUUAUCAGGCGAUUCUUUGAAAACAAGAAGAAUUAUUCCAGCAGCAACAGGAGCACAUACAGUCUUAUAUUGAUACAAGUUUAUGUUCUGUCAGAUCUUACAUUGACGAAAAGAAUGAGAAUAUGUUAAACAGAUUAUAUAUCUAAAAAUCCAACAUGGAAGCCAUUAUAGGUUCUAUGCAGCAGGAUGUUCCUCUCCAUGCAAGUCCAAAUCCUACUGUUCAACCGCAUGAGACAUCAUAUCUCAACCAGCAGAAAGUGUUGACAUGCGGAGAAGAGAAAGGGAAAAGAAGAUGAAAUACACACAGGCUUCGUCAUCUACAGGCCGUCUCUUAGAAGACUACGACAUGAACAAGUACAAAGACAUUAGGAAUUGGAUAUCGAGAAAUCAAUCUGGGUAACAAAUGUAACUCAUUCUGAAUAGUCCGAAUGCUAAACAUUAUUAUAUCUAUGUCAAAAAUUAUUUGUUGAAUUAUUUGACAGUAAUUUAAAUUAUGUUAUACAGUGUAUAUUUGGACGAUGGCCGUGGCAAUGUCUAUGGAAGAGACAUGCUAAAAAGUUUAAUAGAUCCGACGAAGGAUAUGAAUAUUGCGAUGAGUGAAGGUUUGCAAUCAUAAUAAAUUUGAUUUUGUAGUUAAUAUGUCUAAUAUAUGUUACAUAUAUUUAUUGCAUUAGCAUAUUGAGUUGGAGCUGAAGUUACUGAGGCAGCGUAUAAAUGAAGAUUGUACUCUUGUCGAUAAAAAAUAUAUAAUUUUGGAUUUUCAAUUUGAAGAGGAGUGUCGUCAGCAAAUAAGGUGGCACAUGGAAUAUAACCAGACAGGUGAAUCGGAUGGAACUUGUCUACAAGGCUAUGUCAAUGGUACAUUGCCUGUAGCUGGUCGUUCGUGGAUGGGAUGCAAGUAUUUAUUAAUUCCAAGUGCAUAUCCAGGCAAUGAAUGUUAUAUGUUUCUGGUCAAUAUUUUUGAAUGGAAAUUCUACGUAUACGACUGCAGCAAUAAUGUUCACACACCUGAUGCAAUCAAGGCUCACGCAGAAGCAACAUGCACAGUCGUUUAAACAUUAUUGCAAUGUCUACCCUUGUCCACCAGACGAGAUAUAAAGAAACAUAUAAAUGAUCCAAUGAAGAUGGAGAUUAUACCUUAUCUAUCGUGUGCGACCAAUGGGUGAGCAUUUCAACUCUUGUUAUUUACUACCGUAGUUAAUCUAUUGUAUAUACUAAAUUCGACUAACGAAAAAUCAUUUAUUGUACAGGCCAAAUUGCAUAAUGUUUGUACUCAAGUGUAUAGAAUGCUUCGUUCUCGGGUAUCCAAUAGAAUCAGUUUCAGCAGAGAGGAUGUCAAUAUACAGAAGAAAGAUUACGGUCGAUUUUUUGAAUAACGAAUACUUUCUUUAUCUCCGAUAGUGAAACAGUUGUCUUGGCUUAGUUGUACUUUGCUUGUGUGACUGUUGAUGAUCAGCCAGUUCAUGAUACCGUUGUUUGCAAUAUGUAUUUUGCUUUAUGUGGUGGUACAUAACAUGAAUUUUGGUUUUAUGUGGUGGUACGUAAAAUGUAUUUUGGUUUACACAGUGGUUUGCAUAUUUCGAUUUAUAUGGUGGUAUGUAAUAUGUUCUCGAACUGUCAUUCUAGACAAAUGAAAUAUCAAGAGUCGAGAUUCACAGCUAUGUAAUGUCGAGAACGACAUAUCAAACGUCCGAAAAUCGAAGAAAUGUAGAGAAAUAUCGUAUUUUGGUCCAAGUGUCGUUCUAGACAUUCGUAAUGUCAAGUGUCGAGAUUAACAGCUAUUUAAUGUCGAUAACGACGUUACAAAUGUCGAGAACGGCAUCAAAUGUCAACAUAAAUAUGAUCCAACCAAAUUUAACUAAGAGUGAAGGCAACCAAAUGGUGUAUUAACUACGAAAACUGUAGCAAGCAGCUUUAUAAUUACUAUAGCAGUUAAAGUUGGUAUGCCAAGCACAAGUACAUUCCUAACCAUAUUGAUGUGAAAAAAGUUGUAAAAUAAUCACCAUCAAUGACUUCAACCAUAUUGGUUGGUGAGAUAUCUUAUCGUGCAUUCAACGGACAAGUGUUUCUCCAGUAUAAAAUGUUGGACUUUACUUAAAUAUGUACAUACGAGAAUUUAACAAAUUCAUAGCACUAGUUAGUUUUUCCAUUGAUUAUGUCUUCAUCAACUCAACAUACUCCUGUUCUUGAUGUUACUAUCACUUUUGACCCCAUCCGCGGACAUCCCGAUUAUCAUAGACUCAAACUCGGAUGAUGAAAGCAAUAUCUUUGUUCCAUAUGUUCGUCAACCUUCGAACCGCCAUCGUAGGGUUUGCCUUCAACCAAUCCCUUUUCCGAAUCUAAUCGAUGAAAUUGAACCAAUUCAAGUUCAUCGUGAGAUCGUCUCAGUACCGGUCCAACCGGAAGCACAUCAUGUGUUGUUGGAUGAAAAUGUUGGAGCAGUAUCCGUCAAAAAUGAAGAUGUGAUCAUCAUAAGCUCCAAUGAAGAGUAUGACAGUAAUAUGUCCUCUUUGUCCGUCAUGGAGGAUAUGUAGAAGAUGCAGUCAUCGUAAGUGAAAUGUUUAUGUACAUAUGGUAGUGCUUUAAAAUCCAUAUAGGUGAUGGAUAUUUUUUGGGGUGAUCACCAUUUUGUAUAAUAGUUGUCUACGAUAUGUAUUGGAGUUAUGGCUUCCUUUUGUUGUGAUUACCAUUUUGUCUGCUCCAAUGACUUAGGAGAACGAGUCAUUUAUGGGUUGCUUUUGCAUCCAUUACCACAUUGUGUCUACAAUGAUUAAGAAAAUCGCAGUGAUGAAAUAGAAAUGUGCUUGUUCACUUAUAUGAUAAACAAAAUGAUAUCGUAGUGAAAUGCUCAUAAGAAUAUAUGUAAGCACCAUUUCCCCUGUUGGUAGUUAUACCCCAAACCUGGCCUCUCUUGUUUGUAUCCAUUAUGACAUUCUAAAAUGAAGUGUUGUUUGUAUUUAGUGAAUGCCCAUACGAAUUUUCCUGUUUGUGAGCUAUAAAAUUUUGAAUGACUAGAAUAAUAUAAGAGAAAAAUCACAAAAAAUGGGAUGAAUCCGUAUAAAGGAUUCAAAAUGUAUUAUAAACUUAAUUUUAUAACAAGCAAUUGUAAAUAAGUGAUAUCUAGAGAGAACGAAGAAAGAAACAGAAAGAAGUAGAAGUCAAAAAUAUAUUCAACAACAUUUAAAAUAAGAGGUAGAAAGCAAGUAAUACAAAAGAAAAAAAUUUCAAAACAUUGAUAAUUCAUGUUAUCAAGGCAUUUGACGAUCGGAAUACACAAUGUCAUUCAAGUAUACGUGUCACUUAAAGAUGUCGAAUUCUGACAUGUUUGCCUGUUAUGUCCAGAACCCCCACAUCGGCUACAUUUUCGUCUCAACGUCGACCUUUCAGUUCUUGACCGUUGAUGUUGCGUAGGAGGUCGACCUGGUGCUCUACGUAUAUUCGGGGGCAAAACUUCGACGGAACGAAUAGACUGAGGAACAAUCCAAUCUGACUCUCGGCCAACAGGGUGAAGAACUUCGUCGUACGCAGCUCACCAAUAUUCUGUGGUGUAGUAAGAGGAGUACAAAUCAUACAAUGAUUUUUCUUUUGGGCAAGCAGCUCGGGAUGCAUGUGAACAUGGGAUUUGUCUCAUCUGAAACUCUCGACAUGAACAUGUGUUACCUAUUAGGUCGACAGUACAAAGUUCGGUAGCUAUACCUACCUCAAAAACGAGUUCGUCCAAAUUUCGUACUGGUAAAGUUGCACCGGCAUCGAAUGAUUUUCUCAAUUCAUCAUCAAUUUUUGGUGUCACAAUCGUACUACAUUUCGUGGAUGCACUUUUUCUCUCGUACAACUAUCGUUGCAUCAAUGACGUAAUAUCUUCGAUCGACGAGGUUAUAGGGAAACUUCUUUGUCGCCUUAGGACUGAAUUCAGUGACUCCGCAAUGUUAUUCGUCGUAACGUUGUACCGAUUAUCAACAAAAUGUGCCUGUGACCAGGUGGAUAUACCGGCACGUUCCAAGUAAGAUGCCAUUGACGGUCGAAUGGUUCUUAUCUGUGUCAUGAACUGAUCAAAUUUCGAUACGUGGUAUGCUAGCGCUGCCCGCUUGAAUAAGAAGAUGACAUUGCUACUGCUAUACCUAGCAAUAAGAUUUUUCUCGAUAUGCUAGAUGCAGACACCGUGGUGAGAAAGUGGGAACAACCUUGUAAUUGUCCGCUUAAUACUCUUCUUCCUGUCCGACACAAACACUAGCUGGUUUGAAUCAUCAAUAACAUCUUUCAACUUUGCAAAGAACCAAUACCACGAUGCAUUUGUUUCCCCAUCGACAACACUCCACGCAAGAUGAUAUAUUUGUAGGUUAGCAUCUUGCGCUGCAGCUACUAGUAGUGUUCCCUUAUAUUGGCCCUUCAAAUGACUUCCAUCAACACAAAUUAUUGGCCUCAUGUAUUCUCGAAAACCACGUACACUAGGCCCGAACGCUAAGAAGAAGUACAAGAACCUAUUAUUCGAGUCGAGUUCAAUGUGUGCAAUAGUUCCAUGAUUUUUCUCGAUUAACAUGUGACAAUAUGAUGACAGUUUCUGGAAACUUUCUUCGGGUGUACCACGAAGAAAUCGAAGUCCCUUCUCUUUAGCCCUCCACACUUUGUUGUAGGUAAUCCGUACACCAAACUCACGUUCCAUAUCCCCAAUAAUACCUGCAGGAACGUGUGAUUGGUUUGCAUCAUCCAACCUUCGCAUUAUGUGAUGCCCAAUUACUGCACUCGUUGCGUGAAUUUGUGCAUUUCGUCAAACGUCUAGAGAACAUGUGUGCUCAGGUAUGUACUCUCGAAUCGUAAAUAUUUCUAAAGUUUUUAUUUUAGAAGCUCGUACUGCCAAUGGCAUGUAGUAUUGAUACAACACACAGUAAGAGAUCUAGGAUUCGACUUUUUAACUUUGAAAUAAAACUUCUCUUUCAAAGCCUUAAGUUGAAGCCUUGUGUGUAACUGUUGUUUGCUAAAUAAUAUCUGAUUCUCCACAAUGUCCUCUUCAUCAAUUAACUCAAUUGCAUUUCAAAUAAACAAAUUGCCUUUACCUAAAGUUUCAUCCAUAUUAUCAAUCGUUUGUGGCUCUUGUAGUUCGCACAUACCGACUGCAUCGCGUCCACAUAAUGCAUCUUCUAUUGGUAAUAAAGGCUCAACUCCGACAUGCAGUUCGUGCUCUCUAGCAUUAUAUUCAUCUGCAAUUACACACAACACCGCUUCUGUGUGAACAGACAUAAACCAUUACAAAUCCUUAUCGUCGGCUACAUUAGCAGGGGGUAUAUUCAUGUUCGGAACUGUAAAUUUCAAUUGAAUUCGGAACUUCAUUCUAUCAACAUUCAGCUUCUCGAAUAAUUUAUGUACAAGCUCUUCAUAUGUAAUAUCAUGUCGAACAACAAUUGAUGUUGUUCGGUUCCCUAACCACUUCCACCCGUCGUCUAUAUUGACGAAUCUACCACCAUACGAGACAACAAAUCUCUUAACAUCUCCCAUAUCUGCAUGUCAUAAACAAUAAUACUGUCAAUCACUAACAAAAAUCAAAAACGAAAAUACUACCUGCAUGCAAUAUGUGAAUCGCUAUACAUGAAAUUUUCCCAACUUACUCAAGUUUUUAAUGUUAUUGUCAACAUUUGACAGUGUCGAGAAUGAUGGUAUAAAUAUCAUUCUCGACAUUUAUAAAUGUCGCGAACGAUAUUUAUACUAUCAUUAUCGACAAUUAUAAAAUGUCGAGAAUGAAAUGACGGGAUUUCAUGCAUUUAUCAUCUUCUUCAACUUCAACCAUCAUUUUUGCAAAAAAUUAUUCCACCAUAAAUGAUAUUCUAAAUACAAAAGUAUAUUAUUUAACUAAGUUAUUUAAGAUGAAUGGUACAAAAAAUAUAUACUCAGGAUAAUUUCGUCCAUUGAAGGGAAAAAAUACAUUUUCAAAAAAUUGAGAUUUGAACAUAUAUAACAACAACUACUAAAUAAAACUUAUCAAAAAAAUGAGAGUUUGAAGAAAUAGAGUUCAAAGAAAUAUACUUUCUACCGACAAAUAAUGAAAGCUUAAUCAGCUUCAAAUUUCUACCAUAGUAAAUUUCUUAAAAUGAUUUCUUUGAAAUUGGAAUCAUAUACUUCUUCGUAUAUGUUAAUGGAAUUUUUGCUUCUUCUUCAUUUGUUCUAAAAUAAUUGAUUAAAAUAUAAUUGAAAAUGUAAGCAAGUGGACUCACCUAGGUAAUAGCAACAUUAUUGUGACUCUUCUUAAAAAUUGUGCCAAAGUGAUAUAAAAUUGAUUAAUCUUUUCAUGAGGGUAAAGUAGACAUUUUGAUCUAAAAAUUGGACAUUUUUGUAAGGAUUAUCAAAAAAGUACACUUUUCAACUCCAACCCUUAUAAUUGGACAUUCUUGAAAAUCCCUCUAAAGGUACAACAUACCAGUAUUAGUUAUAAAUUAUUAUAACAAAAAUAAUCUUAAUUCAAGGAUAAAUCAGGGUUUUAGAAAAUUAGUAAGGAGAUUACGGUCCAAAAAAGUUUUUCCAAUCUCCAUAUUUUUAGAGCACCUUCAAAGGACUCUUUAAUUUUUUUUCUUAAAAAAGAAGAAGAAGCAUAUUUUACAAUUUAUAGAGUAUCUCUAAAUUUAGAGUUUUUUAAAAUACUCCAACUACCUUAUUAUUUUUAACACUUAAUUUUAAUACUCAACUAGUAUGUAUUUAGGGGCGGAUUAGUCCCCCCAAAGCCCAAGAAAAUUAUUAUUAUUAUUAUUAUUUUAUUAUUAUUUUUUUUUUUGUAAAAAAGUUUUUUAUGGGUAAAUUUUUUUUUCUUGUAUUAACCUGGCUUGAAAUUUUAUAAUUCGGUCUUUGAUCCAAUUCUGGAUCCAUCCCUGUAUAUGUUUAUUAUUUUUUCAUACUUUUUAUUUUCAACAACUUUCCUUCAAAUUAUUAUAUUAUAUCCUUACACUUUCUAUCUAGUUGGUCAAUAUAUGAAGUGUAGAAGAUUGAAAUAUUUUGAAUGCAUUUAAUUAUAGAGAGUGUGUUUAGGGCGGACGCAGACAUUUGAAGUUAAGGGGCACAAUCAAACUUACAAAAAAGUUGUGAAGAAUUUUUCAUUGAAAAAUUUGUAUCCAAAUAAAUAUAGCGCAUGUAAUUUUACAUCCAAAAAUUUACAUGGGUAUGACUUAUUCGGAUGUAAAAUUUAAAAAAAAAAAUUUAAUGUUAUAUCCCAUGUAAAAAAUUUUAAUAAAAUGAUGUAAAUUAUAUUGAAAUUUUUUAUCGCAAAAAAAAAUAAUAAUUGAAAAUUCUUAAAGAAAAUACGAGUUAUACGUCUCUUUUUAAGAAGCACAUUUGACACAUCUUUAACUAUUUUUUAUAUUUUCUUGGAUAAUUCAGCAUGCCUACGAUGUAGUUCUUGAAAUGAGCUUCGAGAUGACGUAGACGCUUUGUGAAUUCGACUAGCCUACGAUCAUUGGCAGAAUUUUUAAAGUUAGCAUGUUAUCGAAAUUCUUGAAAUAAUAGUUUGAAAUGAUCUAUUUUGACAAGCUGUAACAUUUGCUACGGUUGACCGUUUCAAGCGCCAUUAACAAAAGCAUAAAAAUUUGGCAAAAAGAAAAAAGAAAAAAAAAAUCAAAGUUGGGAGGUCACGUGACCCCCCAUGCCCACCCCUGUGUCCGCCCCUAAGUGUGUUUGACUCUUCAAUUUUAGAUAAUCAAACACACUUUCUAUUUUAAAAUGUUAAUUUGGAAAGUCUUUUUGAGCAUAAUUUUAAAGGUUAACUCUUUAAAUUAUAGAGUACUUUUUAAAGAGUUUCUUGGUUGUACACAAUGUUUGGAGUGUGAGAAAUAUUAUGUGAGAGUAACAAUUUUUGAAUGUGAAACUCUUUUGGCUUUUACUAUGAUUUGUCUCCUAUUUUGAAGUUUUCAACGUAAACUCUUGCAUUCAUUUUAUUAUUGUUGUUGUUGUUGUUGUUGACCCCAAUAAAUGUUGCCAACAGAUACCGGACCCAUCCGCGCACACGUAAGCGCAAGUCCAACACACAAAGACACGUGGACGGUCUAAAAUGGACAGAUCAAGGGCAUGGGAGUAGCUCAACGACGUGGGACAAGAACGUUCGGGAUCCGACGAGAUGAUCGCAGACCGAUUGUACAAUAAAUACCAAUCGAUGUUUGUAAAUGUGUAUCUAAAUAUGUAUGAACUCGUUUGUGUUGCAAGAUAAUAAGAAAGUGAGAGUUGAGUAAAGUAUGGUUUCUUGUAUUGAUUCUUGCAUUAGCCUUUGUAUGGAGUACAUGGGGGAGUAUUUAUAGUGUUACAAGUUAGAUCGUAACCUUUGGUUCGGAGUACAUGUGGCCUCAUUCGGUUAAUUUACAUGUCAAAUUGUAGGCAUCAGCCGCAACUAGCCUGCUAUACAUUUAUUGAUUGGCAGAGCCGCCUCUACUAGUUACAAGACAUAACAUUUACACUCAUGACAAACAUCCUAUCAGUCAUUCUAGUAAGAUCUUUGUGCAGAGGAUCUCUUGGGAGAAGUGUCUAUGGAAGAUGCUGCUUUGUUAUUCGGAGGCUUCUACCUCGGCUACAGAGCUUUGGCCAACAGGGCCUCGUCCACCUUCAAAGGGCCUCAACAUAUGGGCUUCGGAAGCUCCUUAAGAGGCAAUGAUAGAUGGGCCGAGGCUUCUGUGGGUCUCGAUUUGUGGGCCUUGGCUAUACAAAUCACCUCGACUUAAGUGCCACAUGGUUCGGCAUGAGUUGGCUAUGAGCUUCAGUGGGUUGCCCAAACGUGCAAACACGUAACAAUAGUCCCCCAAAUCCAAGUAUAGUCAUUUAUGUAAUGCGAGGACUUUGAUGAAGUAAAGCCAGCCAGUUAAGUUGAAAUUUUUUUUGAAAUUUUUGUACCCCAAAUAAUAGUCCCUCAAGUCCAAGUAUAGAUAUUUAUAUCAUGGUUGGAGUUAGAAAUGUGCAGUUGUGGAAGAAUGAUAAAGUUGAGGUAGUUUGAGAAAUCGAACCUGCGAGGCUUGAUGGCUGAAUUGUGAAAGAAUGAGGAAGCCGAGGUGUUUGGGAAACCGAACCUGCGAGGCUUGAUGGCUGAAUUGUGAAAGAAUGAGGAAGUCGAGGUGUUUGGGAAACCGAACCUGCGAGGCUUCAUGGCUGAAAUCUGAGGCACAUUGACAAUAAUUGGUCCUCGUCAGUUGUGCCAAAGAUUUGAUAUUUUGCGCAUAUUUUCGAGGAAAGGUGGCUGAAUCGUUACAACUUCCAAGGCGUCUGCGGCCGUCGAAUUAAAAUCGUAAUCAUGAAAACAGCUGGAGCUUCUAGAAGUAGACGCAUUGCGGGAGGUGCGUGGGAGAUACGCUUAAAUCUGAGGUGUAGGUUUGAAAAAUCGUUUGAAUUCUACGUCUCGAAUUUGAUUUAGAAUGAAGGGUCCAGAUUAGAUGGGCUUUGAUCAGAAGGUUAGGGUUCGUCCCGGCCCUUUAUAAAAGGCGAGAGACACCCAUUUUUCUGGAUUUUCUACCUUUGCAAUCUGAUUUUUCUUCCAAAGCUUAAGUUUUCCGGCGUUGAAGCUGUUUGUUCCCUAGUUUUCCAGCACCAUUCCGUUGGCGUAGUUAUUCCCACAGGUAUUUUCACAGAAAAUCCCUUGUAUUGCGUUCUUAGUCCUUUUCUGAAAUGGAGUCCACCUCGGGUAGGGAGUUGGUCACUGACGCGUCAUUCGGUCAGGGGGCUAGUUACAGGGAGGACUCCAAGGUUGAGCAGUAUGCUAUGACCGAGGAGGUAGUAGACAACAGUGUAGAGUGGGGGGAGUCUAGAGUCCCUUCGAAUAUGAUAGGAAAGAGGCUGGGGGAGAUUAGGGAGAGGUAAUGUGUACCUCAUUAUGUAGAAAUGUUAGUACCCGAGGCCCAUGAGCGAGCCUGCUAUCCGAGACAUGGAUGCGUGGCAGUGAGCGAGUACCUGUUUAAGGCAUGUAUGCGUUUUCCUCUACACCCCUUCUUCAGGGCGAUGCUGAGGAACUUUAUAUUGUCACCGACCCAGGUUCUGCCAAAUGGGUGGAGCCAGUUUGUUGGCUCAUACUUCCUAUGGAAGGAAGUGUCACUUGGGGAGGACAUGCCUCUCCACGUCUUCAUGACCCUAUUCCAGCCUAGGGUAAUAGGUAAGGAGUCAAGGGGGUGGUAUUACUUAACUCCUUGGGGGGCUCGUGCACCAUUUGUAGUGGGGCUGCCUUCUUCCAUUAAGGGGUGGAAGGAGUCGUGGUUCUGGGUGAGGGGCAGAUGGCAGGCGGUGGAGGGAGACAUAGCCUUGGCUUGCACAGUACCGACCCAGUACUACGAAGCUUGUGAGUCUCCCAGCGUAAGUAGUUUGCAUUAUGUAUUCAAAUUUCUUUUUCUAACUAUUGAGACUUCCUUUACAGAUAGUAGUACAAGGUUCGAGUUGAGCAAGGCGGAGUUUGAAGUGAUAGAGGACAUUUACAAGUGACCUUUCAAGUUUCGCCACUUCGACCACCUCAUCGACCGAAGUCGCUACUUCCUUGAUUUUGAACUAAUGGCCUCCAAGGGUAAGAAGCUCCUAUACUUCUUGCUUUUUGUUUUGAUGCUGAUGCAUUGACAUGUUCUGUAGAUAAGUUCAAGAAGAAGGAAUACCCAGCCCCUGACAUGGCCUCUAUACUUAGGGCCACAUCCACUGGAAGACGAGGUCCCUAAAGCCGAGGUCAACUGGCGCCAAAGAGGUGCGGGACAGGGUUGAGUGCCUCUCCAAGGACAUCAGUUCAAGGGCUCUCGAGGAGGGGACUCCUCAGAGGCCGGAAAAGGCCAAAGAGCCUCGGGGCAAGGAGAAGGUCCCCGAGGAGCAGAAGAAGAGGAAGUUGGUGCACGUCAGCAGCUUGUUAGGAAGUUCGGGACCUCUGUGUCCCAUGAAGGCAAAGAAGUCCCUCAGCCGAAUCUCCUUGCAGCCGCCUCGAAAGCGGUAAAGAUUGAAAUGGUUCGACGAGCCAAAGCUGAAGAGGCUAAAGAAGAGGCCAUGAGGAGGGCAGCUAAAGUGACAGAGGGCGAGGCCGCCAAGUAGAGGCCUGCGAGGGUGCAAGGGAAGUCUCCGAGCUUCCUUGCCGGAAGGGAGUAGGUUCUGGCUCUAGCUUUGGUGGAGGCUCUACCACCUGAGAUCCGAAGUGCCACAGAAAGCUUCUACAAAUUUUGGACGGAUCGGUUGCAGUUGCAUGCCUCCUCAUGUGACGCCACGGACUUGACAAGGGCCCUCGUGAGCCAAAGUGUGAGAUCCUUUGGCCUCGCACUGGAGUGCAGGGAGGCCCUUACUGACUUUCAAACGAGGGCCCAGUCCUCGGAGAAGAAGAUGGCCUCUCUUACAGAGGAGCUGAAGGGAGCUAGAGCCGAGGCAGAAGAAGUGAGGGCCCAAAAAUUUGAAGAUGCGGCCAAGCUGGAGUCUGCCUUGUCUCAAAUCGAGGCGUUGAAGAAGGAGGUAUAUGAGUCCUAGUGCGAGAUGGCCUCCUUGACUAAGAAAGUGGAGGUUUCCAAUGACCACCAGAAGGUGAUUGCCAAAGCCUUGGAGAAGGCAAACUUGGAGCUAGCUGGGGCCCAAGAUGAGUACAAGUUCUUGGAGGGCCAGAUAAAGUGGUAUGUUGAUGAAGCGGCCAAGGCAAAUGAGGAGGCCAAUGUGGCGAGGGAGGAGGCGGUGAAAGACUACAUUGCCAACUUCCAUAAUAUCGAGGAGUAUAAGAGUUUCAGCACUUACUGGAGAAAUUAUGCUUAUGCCGAGAUGAUGGAGAGGGCUGAGGAAAUCUACCCAAAUCAAGACCUGUCACAGCUGAGGUCAGAGUUUUUGGAUGAGGUGCCUCAAACCCCAACUUAUGAAGCGGUUGGAGAUGAAGUAGUAGAGCUAUAAGAAGGAAGUUAUGAUGCUCAGGUUGCGGAGGCCCUGGCUGCCGAGUCACCUCCAUCAUUGUCCUAGGCUUAGGAUAGUUUUCUUUCAGUUAUUUUUUAUGUACUUGCCUCAGGCCCCCCUUUUGUAAUCUUGAUUGAAAAUCAAUAUAAUAUCUUCUUUCAUUCAAUGUUUUUUCUCCUAAGUGCAUUGGCCUCGUCAAGAAAUUGAACUUAAUGUUGAUUGAAGAACUAAAUAACUUUAAUUUGGUAUCCUAACUCCAAUCACUUGAGCAAGUAAAUUGUAUGCAAGCCUCACGAGCCAUGACCAAUAUUGGACUUAAGCAAAUGAAUUGUACUUAAGCUUAAUAACGAUAACCUGAAUGGAUCCUGACUGGACCGUGUUUCAGUCGAACUGGGAAUAUUGCUUUCUGAUUCGAAAGGUAGUUGGAUGAAGCUAGUAGUGGUUGAGUGUUGUGAAUAAAUGGGUAUAAAAGUCUGUUUUGUUAAGGCCUCCCAGAGUCUCAGAGUUCAAACGAGGUGGCCCAGAGAUGGGAUGCUGGCCUCUCCUUUGAGGUGAGGACGCUUUCCGACAUGGUGGAUGGUUUAGCCAUGCUGAGACUUCUCCCAGUGGCGUUCAGCCUCGCCAAAGGGAGGCAAGUGCAUACGCCUCGGAGUUCAAACUAGGUGGCCCAGAGAUGGGACGCUGGCCUCUCCUCCGAGGUGACGAUGCUUCCCAACAUGGUGGAUGGUUCGGCCAUGCUGAGGCUUCUCCCAGUGGCAUUCAGCCUCGCCAAAGGGAGGCGAGUGCAUGCGCCUCGAAGUUCAACGAGGUGGCCUAGAGAUGGGACGCUGCCCUGUCCUUCGAGGUGACGAUGUAAUGCGACACAUGAAUUCAAUCAUGGAUAAUUUUACUGAAUCAUGGAAAUGUUACAUAAACUGGGAAAGAUCGUCCAGCGAUGUAGUACAUUCAUUGAUAAUAUAUUCGAAGGUGCUCAAUGUUCCAUGGACAAGGUUGUGCCUUGCCAUCCAUGUCUUCAAUCCAGUAAGUUCCGGGUCGGAUCUCCUCUCUGAUUUUAUAUGGACCUUCCCAGUUCGGGCCCAGGGAACCGGUGCCAGGUUCCUUUGAGGAGAAGAAGACUUUCCUAAGGAACAGAUCGUUGAUUCGAAAUGACCUCUUCUUUGCCUUUGAGUUGAAGUACUUCGUCAUCUUUCUUUGAUAUGUGUCGAGCUUCAGUUGGACGUCAUCUCUCCUUUCCUCAAUAAAGUCGAGGUCCCAUCUGCGAAGCUCGUCAUUUGUUAUCUCAUUGAAAUGCAGACGUCGUAGAGAUGAGAGUCCGACUUCGACGGGGCUCAUCGCCUCAGUCCCAUAUGCCAUGAGGAAAGGUGUUUCCCCUAUUGGGGUCCUCGCAGUGGUUCGGAUUACCUAAAGAACCUAUGGCAGCUCAUCCACGCAAGCCCCUUUUGACACAUUAAACUUCCUUUUCAGGACGUGCUUGAUUGUCUUGUUCACAGCCUCAACCUGGCCAUUUGCUUGUGGGUGGUGAGGCGUGGAGAAGUGCUUCUUGAUGCCAAAUUCUUCACACAAACUUCUGACCUUGUUGUUGUCGAACUGUCUACCAUUAUCUGAGACGAUCGAAUAGGAAAUCUCGAAUCGGCAUAUGAUAUUCUUCCACAAGAACUUGGAAGUGUUGGCUUCUAUAAUUUUUGCAAGGGAUUCAGCUUCGACCCACUUCGUGAAGCAAUCAAUGGCUACAAUUGCGAAGCUCGCACAUCCUCUGCCUUUUGGUAAAGGACCUAUGAGGUCCACACCCCACUUCGAGAAAGGCCAAGGGCUGGAGACCGCGGUCAAAUCUUGCAAUGGUUUUCUUUGAAUAAGAGACAAUCGUUGGCAUUUGUUACAUUUUCGUACAAACUCGAGGGCGUCCCUUUCCAAGGUAGGCCAGUAGUACCCCUGCCUCAGUAUUUUCGGUGCCAAAGAUAGACCUCCAGAGUGGUUGUCGCACACACCCUCAUGGACUUCUCUUAAUAUAUAGGUAGCCUCUUCUCCUCCGACGCAUCGUAAGAGUGGAGAGGAGAAGCUCCUCUUAUAGAGUACAUCAUCAAUGAAGAGAAAAUGGGCUGACAUUCUCCUUAGCUUGUAGGCCUCAUGGUUGUUAGUAGGAAGUACCUGGUCCUUGAGGUAUGCCACGAUGGGCUGCAUCUAGGUAGGAAUCCCAGCGAUCCACAUAACAUUGGAAGCCUUGGUUGACGGCAUGAGGAGGUGCUCUAUAGGGACAACUAUGAGUAGUUCGGAAUCUUUGCUACUUUCAAGUUUGGAGAGUGCAUCUGCAUGUGCAUUUUCGAUGUGGGGAUCUGGAUCAACUCAAACUUUUCAAAGGAUAGGAUGAAGUUCAUCACCAUUUUCAAGUAAGAGGCCAUUCUUUUGUCCUUGGCUGAGAAGUUACCAUCGACCUGGCUAACGACCAGCUGGGAGUCACUACUGAUGAGUAGCCUCUUUACUUGCAUUUCUCUUGCUAACCUGAGGCCUGCAAGAAGUGCCUCGUAUUCUGCUAUAUUGUUGGUGGCCUUGAACCCGAACCUUACCGUCGAGUUCAGCUUGUGACCUUCCAGGCUGAUGAGGACAACUCUGGCACCUGAGCCGGCAUCCCCAGCCGACCCAUCAAUGAAUAAGUUCCACGUAGGGGGCUCGGCUUGUUCCAUGAUUUCAUCUACCUUGGGUAAGUUGGCGAAUUUUGCCAUAAAGUCAGCUAAGGCUUGGCCCUUGAUGGAUGCCCUAGCCUUGAACAUGAGGUCAAAUUCACUUAGCUCCACCACCCAUUUUAAUAAUCUUCCUAAGGCAUCGGGCUUUGGAGUACCUGCCUUAGGGAAAAGUUUGUCAGCACAUGGAUGGUGUGGGCUUGAAAGUGGGGUCUCAACUUCUUGGAGGCCGUGAUCAAGGCCAAAACAAGCUUCUGCAUAUCGGGGUAGCGGGUUUCCAGCGAUAGGAGUGCUUUACUUGUAUAGUAAAUAAGGAGUUGGGUGGUCCUCUCUUCUCGGAUUAGAACUGCACUAAUGGCCUUAUUGGAGACGACUAGAUACAGUUGUAGAAUUUCAUCGGGCUUCGAUUUGGAGAGGAGGGGGCCUGCCCUAGGGGCCUUUUCAGGCUUUGGAAGGCCUCUUCACAUUCCUCAUUCCAUUGGAACUUCUUCCCAGAUUUUAGCACUUUGAAAAAUGGGAGGCAUUUGUCUGUAGCUUUAGAGAUGAAGUGGCUAAGCGAGGCCAAUCGUCCAGUCAAGCUUUACACCUCCUUUGGUUUUUGGGGGGACCUCAUCUUGCAUAUGGCCUCUAUCUUCUCAAGUUUGGCUUCGAUACCGCGUUGGUUAACCAUGUAUCCUAAGAAUUUGUCGAAGGCCACUCCGAAGGCGCACUUGAGGGGGUUGAGCCUCAUCCUAUAUCUUCUCAAGAUUUGGAAGGUGCUGUUAAGGUGCGUUAUGUAGUCCUCAGCUUCCAAACUCUUUACUAGCAUGUCGUCUACGUAGACCUCCAUUGUCUUGCCAAUGAGGUCCACAAACAUUUUGUUGACGAGCCUUUGAUAUGUUACUUCGACAUUUUUCAACCCGAAGGGCAUCAUCUUGUAGCAGUAAAGGCAUCGGUCUGUGAUGAAAGAUGUGUGUUCCUCAUCGGCCGGGUGCAUGGGAAUCUGGUUGGGGCCAGAGAAUACAUCCAUGAAGCUCAAUAACUCGUGCACAGCCGUGGAGUCUACCAGUUGGUCAAUCCUUGGAAGUGGAAAGCUGUCCUUUGGGCAAGCUCUGUUGAGGUUAGUGAAAUCGAUGCACACUCUCCACUUGCCGUUGUGUUUCUUCACUAAAACUAGAUUGGAGACCCACCUCGGAUAGGUGGCUUCCAUGAUGAAACCAUUUUGGAUGAGCUUCUAAACUUCUUUCUUCAGGGCCUCGUACCUCUCAGGAUUGAGGGCUCUCAUUUUUUAUCUAUGCAGGGCAACCUUAGGAUCAAUUUUCAGGUGGUGGCAACUGAACUUGGGGUCUAUGUCUACCAUGUCCUCAUACCUCUAAGCAAAGAUAUCAAGGUUCCUACUUAGGAAAUCCUUGAGCUUUUCUUUCAAAGUGCUGGACAAGCCUUGCCCACCUUCAACAAUUUGGAUGGGUCUCGGGGGUCCACCGAGAAGCUCUUAAGUUCCUCAACUGGGGAUGCUUGAGUUUCGUGUUCAAUUAUGCGGGGAUCAAUCUCAUCGAUGACCAAUACUUCCGGAUUGGGUGGUGCAUCAAUCAUUUCGACAUCUUCCAGUUCGACGGGAACAUCACUUGGGACAUUAGCCAUGACUAUGUCGGCGAUAAUCACAUGGACGUCCCGGGGCUCUACCUUUUUGAUGGAGCUUAGAUAACACUCUUUCGAGCCUCUUUGGUCGCCUCUCACCGUUGCCACCCCAUUUUUCGUGGGGAAUUUCAUGCAUAGGUGGUGAAUGGAGGUGACUGCUCCCAAUUCCUUUAGAGCUAGCCUACCCAAUACUCCGUGGUAGGCCGAUCGACUGUCGACAACGAGGAAUUCCAUAAAGUUCAUUGUGGUUUGGGGAGACUCUCCCAUCUCUACUACGAGUGUGAUUUUUUCUCUCGGAGUGAUGCUAUCUCCGGUAAAUUUGUACAAAGGAGUGGUGGUGGAUGUUAACUCAUGGUCCAGUAUCAUCUUGUCAAAGGUGGAUCUGAAUAGGAUGUUGACGGAGCUACCAUUGUCAACUAACAUUCGUUUGAGCCCAUUCCGAGCUAUAACUGCUCUUACCACAAGUGCAUCGCCGUGGGGGUAGUGAACUCCUUCGGCAUCUUCCUGGGUGAAAACAAUUGGUGGAACUUGAUUUUUCCGGGAGCUAUUGUCCACAAUGUAGAUUGUCAGAGGGGGGUGUUUUGCCUCCCGAGCAUAAUUCAUUUUGGCGUUUCGCGCCGCCAACAUACGGGCCUCCAAAUAUGGUAUCCACCUCAUGGAUAGGGGCCUCAUCCUGAGCUUACUGAUUUCUUCGGUGUCUGUACCCUUCCCUGGGCCUCUCUACAUCAUGCUCCCUUCAUCGCGGAGAAACAUCCCUUUGACGAGGUGCUCUUCACGUCCAGGUCUGUUAUUGUGCCUAGGUGGGGGCCUAUUCGCCUGGGGAGAUUCAUUUCUAUCCCUAGGGGGUUCCUGCCGGGAGCGAUGAGCAUAGUUUCGACAAUCUGCUGUGUCGUGUCCAUAGGACCGGUGGUAUACACAGUAUCCAGGUAGGUUCUGAUUUGACCUAUUUCUAGGUCCCGAACCCCUGCCUCGGCCUCUCUCCCUACGGGAUCCUUGCAGAGUUCCCAUCUACUAGAAGUUAAUGACUGGGUUGAUAUCCUCAUAUGCCAAUGUAGGAACGACAUUAAGAGUGGUGGUGGUAAGUGCUUGGCCAGAACUCUCAUUAUCAGCUUGGUUCAUUUGGUAGUCCAUUAAGUGGGAGGUCGGCCCUCUAGCACACUACCUUUGAGGAGGUGGGAGACAUCUAUUUGCCCUGUUCCUACGCUCAAUCAAUUCUUCAUUGAAGAUCUCCCAUCUCAUCAUCUCUAGUAGGGCAUCAUAGGUGGUGGGGUCUUGAUUUUGCAUGUCACCCCAGAACAGGGUGUUCAUGUUCAGACCUCUUCUCAAUGUAGAUAACGCCUCACGGUCGGUGACUUGCACACAAUAUGUCAUCUCAUUGGUGAAACGUGAUAGGAAGCUCUUUAGGGACUCUCCAUGUGCCUGUCUCAUGUCUUGGAGACGUUGGAUGGGGGCCUCUCCCUUUUUGCUUACAGCGAACCUCUUCAAGAAAGUCGUCUUGAAUUCGGGCCAAUUUCUUAUGCUCCCAUGUGGUAACCUACUAUACUAAAUUUCAGCUACUCUGCUAAGUGUUAAGUGGAAAGCUCUACAUUUCACAGCUGGGGUGGCACCCUUAGGCUCAUGUAAGUUUUGUAAACAUUCAGGUGCUUCUAUGGGUCGCCUCUUCUGUCAUACUUUGAUAUCUUUGGCAAAACAUAGUGGUUCGGGACCUGGGCGCUCCUUAGUUCCCUUGGGAAUGGCAGGUUUUCAUCAUCAUCGUCCAAGUCAUAGGACCUCUGUUGCUCAUCUGAAUCAUUUUCAUCGGCCUCAUACCUUGGUUGUUGGUGAGAGGUUCCGGGACGGUUCCUAGCCUCUUCCUCCAUCCUUUGGCGCCUAUUUCUAGGCGGGGCAGCACCGGGGGCAUUUUCGUGCCUUUCUUCCGGCUGUUGAGGCAUUGGAGGUGGAGGCGAUGACCUUAUCCAAGGCUCGUGAUGUUGUUAUUGUCUGAGCCUCGGUUCAGCGGGGCUAAUUCUGUCAAAUACACUGCCUGACCUCCUAUGUCUUUGCUCUUGCUCAUACGGAGGUGGGAAGUUAUCAUGGUUCAAAGGGACCUCGGUGGGUCGGCUAGAAGCAUAGUUGGAGGAAACAUCAACCUUCACCUUCCUUUCAAAUGGGCUUUUACCUCGGCUAUAGUCCGACGAGGUAGCCCUACGACUUUGAACUUCAUCUUCUUGCUGGUAGUGCCCUUGAGCGUAUGAAGGAAUAGGGAAGCCUCCCUGACCCUGCAUUUGGGUGAUGAGUUCCCUCAUAGCCAUGUUUUGGCUAGCAAUGUCCCUCAUAUUAGCUACCAUGGCGACCAUUUCAACUGACGUCGGGCCGUCCCACGCAUUCCACCUCUUCUAUGGUUGUGGUGGAGUCUAUGCCGAGCUGCUGGGACAGCUGCUGGAGGGGGCACAUCAGCAUUUUCUCUUACCCUCAUGGGGGGUGUAUCUUCGUUUGAGCUCAUUUUAUUUGCGUCUUACCCUUCAGAUUUUUGCUAAGUCGGGGGGCUGCCUUUUGUUCUUUUUCAAGAACAAAUCCUUUUUCAAGGGGGAUGCCCAAAUGCUCCUCUUUAAUAAGCUUUUACCACAAGGUUGUUCGUGGUUAUGGUAUGGCUUCCCAUAGACGACACCAAUCUGUUGACCCCAAUAAAUGUUGCUAACAGAUACUAGACCCACCCGCGCACACCUAAGCAAAAGUCCAACACACAAAGACAUGUGGACGGUCUAAAACGGACAGAUCAAGGGUGUGGGAGUAGCUCAACGACGCGGGACGAGAACGUUCGGGAUUCGACGAGAUUAUCGUAGACCGAUUGUACAAUAAUUACCAAUCAAUGUUUGUGAAUGUGUAUCUAAAUAUGUAUGAACUCGUUUGUGUUGCAAGAUAAUAAGAAAGAGAGAGUUGAGUAAAGUAUGAUUUCUUGUAUUGAUUCUUGCAUUAACCUUUGUAUGGGGUAUAUAGGGGAGUAUUUAUAGUGUCACAAGUUAGAUCGUGACCUUUGGUUCGGGGUACACGUGGCCUCAUCAGGUUAAUUUACAUGUCAAAUUGUAGGCAUCAGCCGCACCUAGUCUGCUAUACAUUUAUUGAUUGGCAGAGUUGCCUCUACUAGUGACAAGACUUAGCAUUUACACUCAUGACAAACGUCCUAUCAAUCAUUCUAGUAAGAUCUUUGUGCAGAGAAUCUCUUGGGAGAUGUGUUUAUGGAAGAUGCUGCUUUGUGAUUCGGAGGCUUCUACCUCGGCUACAGAGCUUAGGCCAACAGGGCCUCGUUCACCUUCAAAGGGCCUCGGCAUAUGGGCUUCGAAAGCUCCUCAAGAGGCAAUGAUAGAUGGGCCUCGGUAUAUAUGGGCUAAGGCUUCUGUGGGCCUCGAUUUGUGGGCCUCCGCUAUGCAAAUCACCUCGGCUUGAGUGUCACGUGGUUCGACAUGAGUUGACUGUGAGCCCCGGUGGGUUGCCCAAGUGAGCAAACACGUAACAAUAAUAAUAAUAAUUAUUAUUAUUAUUAUUAUUAUUAUUAUUAUUAUUAUUGUUAUUAUUAUUAUUAUUAUUAUUAUUAUUAUUAUUAUUAUUAUUAUUAUUAUUCCCUAUUUAUAUUUAAGGGGGAUCUUGUGAAGUAUUCUUGGUAUUGGAGCAUCAAGUUCCUUGGCUGGUAGCUUAAAUAUCGAGGGUUAAGUUCGAAUAUGGAAGACAAUUAAUUAGGACCAAUGUUGCCAUUGGAUGAAGCUGCAUGCACCUAUCUAGCUAACUUCCUACCACCCACUGUCAAAGUUGGAAUUGCAUCUUCCUAACUGACACAGAUAUCCCUUUAUAUUAGCUGGAUUCAUUGUCACAAUUCUUUUUAGGUCGGUAAUUCACUAGAAUCGUAUAUAUUCUCAAGUAAUGCUUUUCUGUUUUAUCAGAUCACGACCUCUUAAUCCAUGGCCUGAUAUCUGUCAAUUACCUUUGUGUUUAUAACUUUUAAUUUCUUAUUGGCUCAUCACACUUUUUAUUUGUUUUCAAAAAUCACAUGCAUGCUUGAUUUUUCUGAAUAUUACAUAUUUCCUCCGUCAGCUUGCUGUGUUCUAGAAAGCUUUUAUAUGCGCGUGCACUUGAUGCGGUAAAGCUUCUCUCCCUCUCUCUCUCCCUCUCCCUAUAUAUAUAUAUAUAUGUAUGUAUGUAUGUAUGUAUGUAUGUGUGUGUGUGUGUGUGUGUGUAUACACACACAAGAACAAUAGGCUGAUUAUCAUAUCGAUCACAUCGAGCUUCGUUCAAUUAUAUGUCUACUAGCUAGUACUCAUUCUAAUUUUCUGAGAUUUUGUGUGACAUCAAUCAAAAUGGUUCAUAAUAACAGUCCACACUAUUAAGGAGAUCCUUCAACCAUAAAUAAGGAACAUUGUCAUCUUCUUCUUCCACUUUAUAGUUUCUUUCUUGAAUAGCAAAAAACCAUAUAAGAUUUUCUUGAUUUUAUGGUCACUAAAUACGUAAGGAUUAAAAGCUGAUGUAUAUCAAGAAAGCACGCUCCAGUAUUCUGAUACCCUAUUUUUGUUUUUUUAACAGGAUAAAUAUGGGCAGAAUUUUUCAAUUUCAGCCAAAGCUCUAAACAUAGUUUGGGGAAGAGACAGUCGCUACUGGAAAAUACCGGACAAAUCGUGAGUUUCCAGCUCUUCCAUUUUCAGAUUAUUUACCUUAAAGCUAAUAUCAUACAAUUUACUGUCGUUCUAAUCUGGAAAAAAAAUUCUACUGCACAAGGGUAUGCCUGUGGAACUGUUGCAAGUAUCCUGGGUUGAGGUGAGUGCUUCUGUUGAUGGGAGGAAUUCUCAAAAGAACUACGAAGUAGGCUUCAGCGCGUUGUUAAAGGCCGAUGCAUUUGGUUGAAACAAGUAUCCUGUCUAUUUAUGAUGAAGAGAGGGAAGGAAGGUGAAUUUACUUCGAGAAAAGUCUUUUUGAACUCUACUAAUGCUAAUGAAAAACAAAGAUUUGACACAUCAGGGAAGUUGAUGAAGUCAGAUUCAACUGAUCCAAAAAAUUAUUUUGGUUUAUAUGAAGUAUGGAGUGGGAAGUGGAAAGG